rnacentral:rRNA from 1 species
GACGAACGCUGGCGGCGUGCUUAACACAUGCAAGUCGAACGGAAAGGCCCUGCUUUUGUGGGGUGCUCGAGUGGCGAACGGGUGAGUAACACGUGAGUAACCUGCCCUUGACUUUGGGAUAACUUCAGGAAACUGGGGCUAAUACCGGAUAGGAGCUCCUGCUGCAUGGUGGGGGUUGGAAAGUUUCGGCGGUUGGGGAUGGACUCGCGGCUUAUCAGCUUGUUGGUGGGGUAGUGGCUUACCAAGGCUUUGACGGGUAGCCGGCCUGAGAGGGUGGCCGGCCACAUUGGGACUGAGAUAUGGCCCAGACUCCUACGGGAGGCAGCAGUGGGGAAUAUUGCACAAUGGGCGGAAGCCUGAUGCAGCAACGCCGCGUGCGGGAUGACGGCCUUCGGGUUGUAAACCGCUUUCGCCUGUGACGAAGCGUGAGUGACGGUAAUGGGUAAAGAAGCACCGGCUAACUACGUG